UAGCUCAGUUAGGUAGAGCAUGGUGUUUGCAACACCAGGGUUGUGGGUUCGAUUCCCAC
rnacentral:tRNA from 1 species